rnacentral:tRNA from 1 species
UUCCCGGUGGUCCAGUGGUUAGGAUUCAGUGCUUUCACUGACGUGGCCCAGGUUCAAUUCCUGGUCGGGGAA